CCUACGGGUGGCUGCAGUGGGGAAUAUUGGACAAUGGGCGAAAGCCUGAUCCAGCCAUGCCGCGUGUGUGAAGAAGGCCUUCGGGUUGUAAAGCACUUUCAGUGGGGAAGAAAGCCUUGGGGCUAAUACCCUCGAGGAAGGACAUCACCCACAGAAGAAGCACCGGCUAACUCCGUGCCAGCAGCCGCGGUAAUACGGAGGGUGCGAGCGUUAAUCGGAAUUACUGGGCGUAAAGCGCGCGUAGGCGGUCUGAUAAGCCGGUUGUGAAAGCCCCGGGCUCAACCUGGGAACGGCAUCCGGAACUGUCAGGCUAGAGUGCAGGAGAGGAAGGUAGAAUUCCCGGUGUAGCGGUGAAAGGCGUAGAGAUCGGGAGGAAUACCAGUGGCGAAGGCGGCCUUCUGGACUGACACUGACGCUGAGGUGCGAAAGCGUGGGUAGCAAACAGGAUUAGAUACCCUAGUAGUC
rnacentral:rRNA from 1 species